GCUCACUGGUCGAGUCGGCCUGCGCGGAAGAUGUAACGGGGCUAAACCAUGCACCGAAGCUGCGGCAGCGACGCUUAUGCGUUGUUGGGUAGGGGAGCGUUCUGUAAGCCUGCGAAGGUGUGCUGUGAGGCAUGCUGGAGGUAUCAGAAGUGCGAAUGCUGACAUAAGUAACGAUAAAGCGGGUGAAAAGCCCGCUCGCCGGAAGACCAAGGGUUCCUGUCCAACGUUAAUCGGGGCAGGGUGAGUCGACCCCUAAGGCGAGGCCGAAAGGCGUAGUCGAUGGGAAACAGGUUAAUAUUCCUGUACUUGGUGUUACUGCGAAGGGGGGACGGAGAAGGCUAUGUUGGCCGGGCGACGGUUGUCCCGGUUUAAGCGUGUAGGCUGGUUUUCCAGGCAAAUCCGGAAAAUCAAGGCUGAGGCGUGAUGACGAGGCACUACGGUGCUGAAGCAACAAAUGCCCUGCUUCCAGGAAAAGCCUCUAAGCAUCAGGUAACAUCAAAUCGUACCCCAAACCGACACAGGUGGUCAGGUAGAGAAUACCAAGGCGCUUGAGAGAACUCGGGUGAAGGAACUAGGCAAAAUGGUGCCGUAACUUCGGGAGAAGGCACGCUGAUAUGUAGGUGAAGUCCCUCGCGGAUGGAGCUGAAAUCAGUCGAAGAUACCAGCUGGCUGCAACUGUUUAUUAAAAACACAGCACUGUGCAAACACGAAAGUGGACGUAUACGGUGUGACGCCUGCCCGGUGCCGGAAGGUUAAUUGAUGGGGUUAGCGCAAGCGAAGCUCUUGAUCGAAGCCCCGGUAAACGGCGGCCGUAACUAUAACGGUCCUAAGGUAGCGAAAUUCCUUGUCGGGUAAGUUCCGACCUGCACGAAUGGCGUAAUGAUGGCCAGGCUGUCUCCACCCGAGACUCAGUGAAAUUGAACUCGCUGUGAAGAUGCAGUGUACCCGCGGCAAGACGGAAAGACCCCGUGAACCUUUACUAUAGCUUGACACUGAACAUUGAGCCUUGAUGUGUAGGAUAGGUGGGAGGCUUUGAAGUGUGGACGCCAGUCUGCAUGGAGCCGACCUUGAAAUACCACCCUUUAAUGUUUGAUGUUCUAACGUGGACCCGUAAUCCGGGUUGCGGACAGUGUCUGGUGGGUAGUUUGACUGGGGCGGUCUCCUCCUAAAGAGUAACGGAGGAGCACGAAGGUUGGCUAAUCCUGGUCGGACAUCAGGAGGUUAGUGCAAUGGCAUAAGCCAGCUUGACUGCGAGCGUGACGGCGCGAGCAGGUGCGAAAGCAGGUCAUAGUGAUCCGGUGGUUCUGAAUGGAAGGGCCAUCGCUCAACGGAUAAAAGGUACUCCGGGGAUAACAGGCUGAUACCGCCCAAGAGUUCAUAUCGACGGCGGUGUUUGGCACCUCGAUGUCGGCUCAUCACAUCCUGGGGCUGAAGUAGGUCCCAAGGGUAUGGCUGUUCGCCAUUUAAAGUGGUACGCGAGCUGGGUUUAGAACGUCGUGAGACAGUUCGGUCCCUAUCUGCCGUGGGCGCUGGAGAAUUGAGGGGGGCUGCUCCUAGUACGAGAGGACCGGAGUGGACGCAUCACUGGUGUUCGGGUUGUCAUGCCAAUGGCACUGCCCGGUAGCUAAAUGCGGAAGAGAUAAGUGCUGAAAGCAUCUAAGCACGAAACUUGCCCCGAGAUGAGUUCUCCCUGACUCCUUGAGAGUCCUGAAGGAACGUUGAAGACGACGACGUUGAUAGGCCGGGUGUGUAAGCGCAGCGAUGCGUUGAGCUAACCGGUACUAAUGAACCGUGAG
rnacentral:rRNA from 1 species